UUGUUAUUAAGACCCAGUAUAUUUGAAGAGAUUUCAAUAAAAUGUAAACAUCAUCAGCCUACAGACUUUGUUCUGAAAAACCUCAAGAAGUUACUCACUUAUUGUGAAGACAUCUACUUGUAUUACAAGCUGGCAUACGAACACAAACUUGAUGUUGUCAAUGUGCUUCUGAAGGACCCUCAGACUGGUUGCUGUCUAAAGGACAUGCUAGCAGGUUAGGAUGGAUUCAGAUGACACCUGAGGAUGGUUACUGCCAAGAAUUCUUUAAGUGCCUGUUUUCUUGUACUGAAAUGAGGUACUUACAGAUGUUUGUGGUCAGCCUAGAGAGAAAUGCAGUGGGGAACUUUGAUGUCUGAUUGUAAAACACCAGGACUGACCAUACCAGUCCUUUGUGAAUAGUGGGUAAAAGGAUGAGAAAUUUUCACAAGGAAAUUCCUUUUCGAAAAUGAUUAUAUGCAUCUAUAUGAUUUUUUUCUAUAUACCAAUAUCUAUAUAUCGGUAUUAAGAUCAAAAGUUCCAUCUUCCUCAGGAUAGUUUUACUUUAGGAGAUGAUACAAUAUUUAGUAAAGAAUAGCUGUGCCUGCAGAUUCCAGUUUCAAAGGAAUUUAAUAUUAUUUACACAGUUGAGGAACAGAUGAUACAUUUCCAUUUGUUAGAAACUGAUCUGUAUAAUAAAAUAGAUUUUAAAUUCA